UUCUUCGUUUUCUCUUGUUUAAUUUGGAUUUGAUUAGAUUUUUUUUGGUAAAAUUCUAGGGUUUUUAUAGAAAAAUCAAAUUUGAUGUAUAAUUCUUCUAUGGUUUUCAUAGAAAAAUCAGAUUUGAUUUAUAAUUCCAGGUUUGUUUAUGAUAACGUUGUGUUCUCGAUUUUAAUUUUCGGUUUUGUUUGGAUUCGUAAAUUGAAUUUGGGAUAUCUUUUUUGGACUGGUUGAAUUUGGGCGGAAAUAAUAAUGAGGAUUGUUCAGGAAGGAGCUUUCGAAGCAAAGAUGUUGCUUCUGCUGCUGCUGUUGUUGAAUCGGUUGACCUGGAUCUCAGUGCUUCAACUUCUAGUCUCCGUAGAAACGCACUACUUGAGAAACUCAAUUGAGGAGUUGGAAUCAUCCGAGAGCUGAUCAAGAUCUGAAAAGUGGACACUGAACGUUUCUUCUGCGUUUUUCCUAGUCUUGGCACAUGAUAAAAUGAAUUUAAAGGCUAUUUGUCGAUGGAGACAAGCUUAAUGUACGGAUUCACGUGACCAUAAAUGUUGAAAUGUUUAUCUUAUGUCUACAUAUUGCCAUAUCUUGGUCAUUUCAGAAUAUUUCACAAGUUGAUCCCGACAGUCUGGUGGCUUUGGGUGGUUCAAGUGCCGAAGGUGUGUUACUAGACAUGAUUAAGACUGCCUCAAGCAUGAUUGGCCAGAUAUCACCCGAAGAGCUUUAGAAGAUGACCCAACUGGCUACCUCAUUUCAUGGAGGCACAAUUUAGAAGGGAAGGGGUUUUGAUGCAAUAUGCCAGCUAAAGCUUAUGUAUCCGAUUUUCCUUGUUUACUUCAUGGUGAUGGUCGAGCUGCCAACAGCACGUUCGUCGUUUUAAGUUUGCUUUUAGAGGAACUUCAGGAAAGAACCGGCUGCAUGUGCAUAUGUUGAUAGAGCAAAGCCGGCAAAUGAUGCCGAAUAUGACUGCAAGAUUGAUGAAUCAUGAAUGGAGUACUUGCAGAUGUUUGAGGGUGUGGUGUGAUUAAAUGGCCAAAAGCUAACAUAACUCCAGGAGCAGAGUGACCAAAUUAGAGUGGCUAGGUGAUAGUAGAUUGAAUUCAGUUUUAGUGUUCAAUAUGUGAUUUCGGGUAGCCAGAAUUUAUUUUUAAAAUUGUACCAUAGAUUCUACUUUUUUGAAAAUUAAUAAAAAUGUUAUUUUGAUUAAA